CAGUAGCCGCGUUAACACGUAGGUGGCAAGCGUUAUCCGGAAUUAUUGGGCGUAAAGCGCGCGUAGGCGGUUUCUUAAGUCUGAUGUGAAAGCCCACGGCUCAACCGUGGAGGGUCAUUGGAAACUGGGAAACUUGAGUGCAGAAGAGGAAAGUGGAAUUCCAUGUGUAGCGGUGAAAUGCGCAGAGAUAUGGAGGAACACCAGUGGCGAAGGCGACUUUCUGGUCUGUAACUGACGCUGAUGUGCGAAAGCGUGGGGAUCAAACAGGAUUAGAUACCCCCGUAGUCCCUGUCUCUUAUAC
rnacentral:rRNA from 1 species